UGUACGUCAGACUUCCAAGAAAAGCUCGCAAUGUCAUAAAUAAAUAAUGCCUGUACCAUAACCGACACAGGUGGGUAGGUAGAGUAUACUAAGGGGCGCGAGAUAACUCUCUCUAAGGAACUCGGCAAAAUGACUCCGUAACUUCGGGAGAAGGAGUGCCUUAUUUAUAAGGUUGCAAUAACAAGAUCCAAGCAACUGUUUAUCAAAAACACAGGUCUCCGCUAAGUCGUAAGACGAUGUAUGGGGGCUGACGCCUGCCCAGUGCCAGAAGGUUAAAGAAGUUGGUUAGUGUAUGCGAAGCUGAUGACUGAAGCCCUGGUGAACGGCGGCCGUAACGAUAACGGUCCUAAGGUAGCGAAAUUCCUUGUCGGGUAAGUUCCGACCCGCACGAAAGGCGUAAUGAUUUGGAUACUGUCUCGGAGAGAGGCUCGGUGAAAUAGACUUGUCUGUGAAGAUGCGGACUACCUGCACCAGGACAGAAAGACCCUAUGAAGCUUUACUGUAACUUGAAAUUGGAAUUGGACUUUGCUUGCGCAGUAUAGGUGGGAAGCGUUGAAGAUAUUCUUGCGGGAGUAUUGGAGCUAUCAGUGAGAUACCACUCUUGUAAUGUUAGAUUUCUAACUUUGAACCAUAAUCUGGUCAAAGAACAGUUUCAGGUGGGCAGUUUGACUGGGGCGGUCGCCUCCCAAAUGGUAACGGAGGCGUACAAAGGUUUCCUCUGAACGGAUAGAAAUCGUAUCUAGAGUGUAAAGGCAUAAGGAAGCUUGACUGUGAGACCUACAAGUCGAGCAGGGCGAAAGUCGGUCUUAGUGAUCUGACGGUACUGAGUGGAAAGGCCGUCACUCAACGGAUAAAAGUUACUCUAAGGAUAACAGGCUGAUCUCCCCCAAGAGUUCACAUCGACGGGGAGGUUUGGCACCUCGAUGUCGGCUCAUCGCAUCCUGGGGCGGUAGUACGUCCCAAGGGUUGGGCUGCUCGCCCAUGAAAGCGGUACGCGAGCUGGGUUCAGAACGUCGUGAGACAGUUCGGUCCAUAUCCGGUGUAGGCGUUAGAAUAUUGAGAGGAGCCUUCUUUAGUACGAGAGGACCGAGAAGGACACACCGCUGGUGUACCAGUUAUCGUGCCAACGGUAAACGCUGGGUAGCUAUGUGUGGAGUGGAUAACCGCUGAAAGCAUCUAAGUGGGAAGCCCACCUCAAGAUGAGUAUUCAC
rnacentral:rRNA from 1 species